rnacentral:rRNA from 1 species
UACGGGGGGGGCAAGCGUUGUUCGGAAUUACUGGGCGUAAAGGGCUCGUAGGUGGCCAACUAAGUCAGACGUGAAAUCCCUCGGCUUAACCGGGGAACUGCGUCUGAUACUGGAUGGCUUGAGUUCGGGAGAGGGAUGCGGAAUUCCAGGUGUAGCGGUGAAAUUCGUAGAUAUUCGGAAGAACACCAGUGGCGAAGGCGACUUACUGGACGACCGUUGACGCUGAGGUGCGAAAGCGUGGGGAGCAAACAGG